UACGAAGGGGGGCUAGCGUUGCUCGGAAUCACUGGGCGUAAAGCGCACGUAGGCGGAUUGUUAAGUCAGGGGUGAAAUCCUGGAGCUCAACUCCAGAACUGCCUUUGAUACUGGCAAUCUCGAGUCCGGGAGAGGUGAGUGGAACUGCGAGUGUAGAGGUGAAAUUCGUAGAUAUUCGCAAGAACACCAGUGGCGAAGGCGGACUCACUGGCCCGGUACUGACGCUGAGGUG
rnacentral:rRNA from 1 species